GACGAACGCUGGCGGCGUGCUUAACACAUGCAAGUCGAACGGUGAAGCGCCUUCCUUUUUGGUGGGUGUGGAUGAGUGGCGAACGGGUGAGUAACACGUGAGUAACCUGCCCCCUUCUUCUGGAUAACCGCAUGAAAGUGUGGCUAAUACGGGAUAUUCUGGGUCUGUCGCAUGAUGGGUCUGGGAAAGAUAUUGUUUCUGUGGGGGAUGGGCUCGCGGCCUAUCAGCUUGUUGGUGGGGUGAUGGCCUACCAAGGCGGUGACGGGUAGCCGGCCUGAGAGGGUGGACGGUCACACUGGGACUGAGACACGGCCCGGACUCCUACGGGAGGCAGCAGUGGGGAAUAGUGCACAAUGGGCGCAAGCCUGAUGCAGCGACGCCGCGUGAGGGAUGGAGGCCUUCGGGUUGUGAACCUCUUUCGCCAGUGAAGCAGGCCUGCCUCGUUUGUGGGUGGGUUGACGGUAGCUGGAUAAGAAGCGCCGGCUAACUACGUG
rnacentral:rRNA from 1 species